CUAUACCUCAGUCUGAUUCAGUAUCAGCAGGCCCUGGUGAGGAGAACUAUCCCUCAGUCUGAUUCAGUAUCAGCAGGCCCUGGUGAGGAGAACUAUCCCUCAGGUGAAGAGGUCAUGUUUCCGUUGGUUCUGUAACACCAUUGGAAGGGCGACACCUGUGGGAGAAGUGUGGGGGAUGAUCAAGAGGAUGAGUCGGGUCAGAAGGGAGUGGGAGACUACAGAAAGAUAGGAAGGGUGUUGAUCCAUCUGGAGAGACUACAGAAAGAUAGGAAGGGUGUUGAUCCAUCUGGAGAGACUACAGAAAGAUAGGGAGGGUGUUGAUCCACCUGGAGAGACUACAGAAAGAUAGGGAGGGUGUUGAUCCAUCUGGAGAGACUACAGAAAGAUAGGGACUGUGCCCUGCGACCCAAUGUACACCUGGCCCACCAUCGAUCUGGACUGUCUCUAUGACCAUGUUCACCUGUACAGGGAAACAGUCCCCAUCCUUGCCAAUACUCUCGAGGACGUCGCUUUAAACCGCAGUCCGACCUCUCCACCCAGGAACAGCAGAGCAAUCUCCACCCCGAAAAAGAUCACCGGGACAAUACCCCGGACCAGCACCCUGGAACUCACAGCCACGACCACAGCACCACCAACCUCAAUGCCUACCACAGCCAGCGCAGCACAGACCACCCCAGCCCAGCUUCAGAGCCACCCAGACGAGGCCUCCCUGCCCCCCACCGCAGACCCACACUUGGAGGAGGCGCAGGCACAGGCUGUGAGAGGAGCAACUGGCCCAGCUCCCACCAACCAAAUGAGUGACAUUAAACAUGCUGAGUCUACUAUGCUCACAUGUGAUAGGCCGAGGGUCAUGAUGCUAUCUUUGAGAAGAAAAAGAGCCAGGCUGGUUUACAGAGACCUGACUAGAGGCGUGACAGUGCCGACACCCCUGCCAUCAACUUGGAUCGCGAGUACUGGGAGAACAGAGCCGGUUCCCUCUGCAGCAGAAGUUGUGCCCAGCUGCAGUGAUGCACCUCUAUCAUAAAAGAAAAAAGGAAGGCAGCGGAUGGAAGGAGGGAGAUACUCUACAUGCCUGCAGUGGAGCUGGACUGUCCUCCACUCCACACCAUCAGCAGUGUAUGUAGUGUUUUGCAGGAGGCUGAGCUAUGGCGCGGUGGGAAUUGUGGCUCAGAUAAAUAAUUCUGUGCCACCUGUGCUGUGAGAACAUUGUUCACCAGUUGGAGUUAUGGAAGUCAGGGCAGUUCAACCCAUGUGUUCCUGUGGUCCUACGAUGGCAGUGGAGGAGACAAGAUGACCAUGACUGUCACAGCCAGUACAACUCUAUUCUGACUGUUAACAUUAGAGACUGGCCUGCCACCCCCCAACUGUGAGCUGGAGCCUGUCACUCUGAUCCUCCACAGACUGGCCUGCCACCCCCCAACUGUGAGCUGGAGCCUGUCACUCUGAUCCUCCACAGACUGGCCUGCCACCCCCCAACUUUGAGCUGGAACCUGUCACUCUGAUCCUCCACAGACUGGCCUGCCACCCCCCAACUGUGAGCUGGAGCCUGUCACUCUGAUCCUCCACAGACUGGCCUGCCACCCCCCAACUGUGAGCUGGAGCCUGUCACUCUGAUCCUCCACAGACUGGCCUGCCACCCCCCAACUGUGAGCUGGAUCCUGUCACUCUGAUCCUCCACAGACUGGCCUGCCACCCCCCAACUGUGAGCUGGAGCCUGUCACUGAUCCUCCACAGACUGGCCUGCCACCACCCAACUGUGAGCUGGAGCCUGUCACUCUGAUCCUCCACAGACUGGCCUGCCACCCCCCAACUGUGAGCUGGAGCCUGUCACUCUGAUCCUCCACAGACUGGCCUGCCACCCCCCAACUUUGAGCUGGAGCCUGUCACUCUGAUCCUCCACAGACUGGCCUGCCACCCCCCAACUGUGAGCUGGAGCCUGUCACUCUGAUCCUCCACAGACUGGCCUGCCACCCCCCAACUGUGAGCUGGAUCCUGUCACUCUGAUCCUCCACAGACUGGCCUGCCACCCCCCAACUGUGAGCUGGAGCCUGUCACUGAUCCUCCACAGACUGGCCUGCCACCCCCCAACUGUGAGCUGGAACCUGUCACUCUGAUCCUCCACAGACUGGCCUGCCACCCCCCAACUGUGAGCUGGAGCCUGUCACUCUGAUCCUCCACAGACUGGCCUGCCACCCCCAACUUUGAGCUGGAGCCUGUCACUCUGAUCCUCCACAGACUGGCCUGCCACCCCCCAACUGUGAGCUGGAGCCUGUCACUCUGAUCCUCCACAGACUGGCCUGCCACCCCCCAACUUUGAGCUGGAACCUGUCACUCUGAUCCUCCACAGACUGGCCUGCCACCCCCCAACUGUGAGCUGGAACCUGUCACUCUGAUCCUCCACAGACUGGCCUGCCACCCCCCAAAUGCCGCAAACAGAUAUUUCAGUGGACCUCCUGCGCCAGUUUGCAGCCCCGCAGCUGGAGUGGGGAGUGUCUUUGAGGGGGAUUACCUUUCCAUAAAUCCAAUACAUGCUGGAAGACAAUUGAGCUCUACCGGAAACUCACAAAUGAGUCAUUUGAGGAGUUCAAACACUGGCAGUUUGAACGAGAGACUGUCAGGGAUUUGGCGCCACUGACCUCAGAUGGAACAAAGUGCCUUCUCGGUCCAUAGGUCACUAAGUGUACCAGGUGUGUGACUGGUAGCGGGCUUGCUGACAUAGAACAGAUGGAGAGGUUAGAACGUUAGAACAUUUGUGAAGAUCACAAAAGAGAUGACACCAACUCAUCGUGUUGACGCCCUCAAAGAUGCCCUCUACUACGCAUCCAGGGUCAAGGAGAAGCAAGCACCGGCAAUACAACUCCGUCGGCAGAAGGUCCUGAUAGAGGAAGCCGAGGCAAAGAAGCAGUUGAUGGUGUUGCUUAACCGCAUUCUAGAGCUCAUCUUUAUGGAAUGGUUUGCCGAUGUGAAAGAGUCAGAUCUUCAAGUCUAGACUGAAGACUUCUCUCGUCUGUCAGUCCUAUGAUUGAGUAUCGUCUUGCCCAUGGGUGGGAAGGUGAACAGAAAGGCAGCACCCAGUCGGACAUGGAAGUUUGGACCCGUAAGACGAAGGAGACCCUCACAGACAAGAGGACGUUGUUCCUUACCUGGCAGGAGAGAUGCGUGGAAACUCUCGCAGAACAACAAUGGACAAACCAUUGCUGUGCGGCUCUCCAGAAAAUUCAAGCGUACAUCAGAGAGAAUAAAACCGCAGAUCAACGCCUACAAUGGAAGGAACAAGUCACCUUAAUUCCCCCCAAGACAGGAGUAUGUGAAGGUUCUCCAGCAAGACCAUCCAGUCUGGUCCCAGGUGUCCAACAACCUGGGGGACAGUCUGCUCCGGGCAAAGCAGUGUGCAGUGAUGCUGCAUAACAUGUGCCUUAGGGCAGCGGAGGAGAGGCACACAAUACAGGCAGACCUACACAAUGGCCUUUUGUAUUGCCAGCAAGAGCUGGGGCCUUUUAAAGAUGCAUAACAUGUAAAAUGCAGAACAUAUUAAAGCUCCAGCAAGCAUUUUCAAUGUUGGCUGAUGAUGGCUCAGUCAGCACAGAUGUAAAAGAGGACAGUGAAUCAGAAGAUGAAAGUGGUUGAGGAAUGAAUGUCUGUGUGUGUGUGAGUUUUAUAGGGCAAACUAUACACUGAGUAUUUCUAACAUUAGGAACACCUUCCUAAUAUUGAGUUGCACCCCCCCAGCCCCCCUUUUUCCCUCAGAACAGACUCAAAUUGUUAGGUAAUGUCACCUGUACCCCCGCACAUUGACUCGGUACCGGUACCCCCUGUAUAUAGCCUCGUUAUCGUUAUUUAAUUGUUACUUUUGUAAACUUUAUUUAGUAAAUGCAUUUUCUUAACUCUAUUUUCUUAACUGCAUUGUUGUAUAAGGGCUUGUAAGUAAGUAUUUCAUGGUCAAGUUUACACCUGUUGUAUUCUUUCGCAUGUGACAAAUACAAUUUGAUUGGACUCUACAAUGUGUGGAAAGCGUUCCACAGGGAUACUGGCCCACGUUGACUCCAAUGCUUCCCACAGUUGUGUCAAGUUGGCUGGAUGUCCUUUGGGUGGUGGACCAUUCUUGACACAUGUGUGAAAAACCCAGCAGCGUUGCAGUUCUUGACACAACGGUGCGCCUGGCACUUACUACCAUAACCCCGUUCGAAGUCAUUUAAAUAAUUUGUCUUGCCCAUUCACCCUUCUGAAGGGCACACAAUCCAUGUCGCAAUUGUCUCAAGCCUUAGAAAUCCUUUAACCAGUCUCCUCCCCUUCAUCUCCACUGAUUUAAAUGUAUUUAGCAAGUGACGUCAAUGAGGGAUCAUAUCUUUCACCUGGAAUCACCUGGUCAGUUUAUGUCGUGGAAAGAGCAGUUGUCCUUAAUGUUUAUUACACUCAGUGUAUAUGUUUGUCAUACUUGGGACAAAUAGGAUGUUAUGCAGAAAAAUAUGUUGGUAAGACAAGGCUAUGUAUGGAAGUCAGUGAUUUAUGUUACCUAUACUGUAGGUUAAUGAGGCAAUACAAAUGUGAUGUGAUCAACAUAUGGAUUAAAUGAAAGGGCCGAGAUUCAACAAAACCUUAAGAAGACAUUUCUUAACUGUCUUAUGAAGAAGGUUUUAUAACUCAAAAAGGUUAUUGGAAAUGUUAUUGUGCAAUUUCUUAUGUUUCCCAUUAAGCAUAAAGUUGGGAAGGAAUUAGAUUCUUGAAAAUGAAGUUAAUGGAUUUGUUCUUAAUUCCAAGAUGGCUAAACUCUUGUAUUAAACUCGGUGAGAGAAUAA